GUGCUUUCUUUAGCAGCACGUAUACUGAAAUUGGAAUGAUACAGAGAAGAUUAGCAUGGCCCAUAUACAAGGAUGACACGUGAAUUUGUGAACCAUUCCAUAUAUAU